UGCUGCUUUGGAUAGUGAGGUGUCAGU
rnacentral:piRNA from 1 species